rnacentral:rRNA from 1 species
UGGGGAAUAUUGCACAAUGGAGGGAACUCUGAUGCAGCGACGCCGCGUGAGUGAUGAAGGAAUUCGUUUCGUAAAACUCUGUUCUAUGGGAAGAAAAGGACUGUACCAUAGGAGAAAGCUCCGGCUAAAUACGUGCCAGCAGCCGCGGUAAUACGUAUGGAGCGAGCGUUGUCUGGAAUUAUUGGGCGUAAAGGGUGCGCAGGCGGCUUUACAAGUUGGAUGUGAAAUAUUGUGGCUCAACCACAAACGUGCAUCCAAAACUGCAAAGCUUGAGUUAAGGAGAGGUAAGUGGAAUUCCUGGUGUAGCGGUGGAAUGCGUAGAUAUCAGGAGGAAUACCGGUGGCGAAGGCGACUUACUGGACUUAAACUGACGCUCAGGCACGAAAGCGUGGGGAGCAAACAGG